rnacentral:rRNA from 1 species
AGUGAACGCUGGCGGUAGGCCUAACACAUGCCAGUCGAACGGCAGCACAGUAAGAGCUUGCUCUUACGGGUGGCGAGUGGCGGACGGGUGAGGAAUACAUCGGAAUCUACUUUUUCGUGGGGGAUAACGUAGGGAAACUUACGCUAAUACCGCAUACGACCUACGGGUGAAAGCAGGGGAUCUUCGGACCUUGCGCGAUUGAAUGAGCCGAUGUCGGAUUAGCUAGUUGGCGGGGUAAAGGCCCACCAAGGCGACGAUCCGUAGCUGGCCUGAGAGGAUGAUCAGCCACACUGGAACUGAGACACGGUCCAGACUCCUACGGGAGGCAGCAGUGGGGAAUAUUGGGCAAUGGGCGAAAGCCUGAUCCAGCCAUACCGCGUGAGUGAAGAAGGCCUUCGGGUUGUAAAGCCCUUUUGUUGGGAAAGAAAAGCAGCAGGUUAAUACCCCGCUGUUCUGACGGUACCCAAAGAAUAAGCACCGGCUAACUUCGUG